rnacentral:rRNA from 1 species
GAGUUUGAUCCUGGCUCAGAUUGAACGCUAGCGGGAUGCCUUACACAUGCAAGUCGAACGGCAGCACGGACUUCGGUCUGGUGGCGAGUGGCGAACGGGUGAGUAAUGUAUCGGAACGUGCCUAGUAGCGGGGGGAUAACUACGCGAAAGCGUAGCUAAUACCGCAUACGCCCUACGGGGAAAGCAGGGGAUCGCAAGACCUUGCACUAUUAGAGCGGCCGAUAUCGGAUUAGCUAGUUGGUGGGGUAACGGCUCACCAAGGCGACGAUCCGUAGCUGGUUUGAGAGGACGACCAGCCACACUGGGACUGAGACACGGCCCAGACUCCUACGGGAGGCAGCAGUGGGGAAUUUUGGACAAUGGGGGAAACCCUGAUCCAGCCAUCCCGCGUGUGCGAUGAAGGCCUUCGGUUGUAAG